CGGGGCGUGGCGCAGACUGGUAGCGCACCUGCCUUGGGCGCAGGGGGUCGGAGGUUCAAAUCCUCUCGCCCCGACCA
rnacentral:tRNA from 3 species